rnacentral:rRNA from 1 species
AUGAAGCCCACCACUGUGUCGCCUCCCGCGGCGGCGCCGGCCACCGACGAUCCCUCGCCAUCGCACUCCGACCCCGCCUCGGCCACUUUCUCGGUCGAGCGCCGCGGCGACGCCUCCGCCUCCUGCCGAUGGACCCUCCCGGACUUCCCCCGCACCCGCGCCCGCACCUUCUACAGCCGCUACUUCGAGGUCGGCGGCUUCGACUGCCGCCUUCUCCUCUACCCGCGCGGCGACACCCAGUCCCUCCCGGGAUACCUAUCCCUCUACCUCCAGGUCCUCGACCCCAAAACCCCAUCCUCCUCCUCCUCCACCACCACCACCACCACAUCCUCCAAAUGGGAUUGCUUCCUCAGCUACCGCCUCUCCGUCGUCCACCCCUCCGAUAACUCCAAGUCCCUGGCGCGCGAUUCCUGGCACCGUUUCUCCUCUAAGAAACGUUCGCACGGCUGGUGCGACUUCGCUCCAUCCGCCGCCGCCUCCUUCCUCCUGCCGCCCCACGAUUCCCUUGUCAUUGCUGCCGACAUUUCGGUGCUAUCGGAGACCGCCUCCUUCUCCGAGGCCGACGGCCGUUUCACCUGGAAGGUGUUCAACUUCAGCCUGUUCCGGGAGAUGAUCCGCACACAAAAGAUCAUGAGCCCCGCAUUCUUCCCUGCUGCCGCCGCUGCUGGUGGGAGUGACUGUGGACUCCGGAUUAGUGUCUACCAGAGUAAUGUAUCUGGUGCAGAACAUUUAUCGGUGUGCCUCGAGGGCAAGGAGCCCGUGGUUCAGGCAACCUCGGCAUCAUCUGCGUCAGCAUUGGCGGCAACUAGUGCAGGGAGUGGCGUGCCUGAUGCUGACCGUGGUUGCUGGUGUCUUUUCCGUGUUUCAAUCCUUAAUCAGAAGCCUGGGGGGAGCCACAUUCAUAGGGACUCAUAUGGGCGGUUUGGAGCAGACAGUGCCAGCCUUGGAUGGGGGGAUUACCUGAAGAUGGAUGAGUUUUUGGCUGCCGAUGGGGGUUACCUGUUUGAUGGGGCUGUGGUGUUUAAUGCCUCGGUGCAUGUGAUCAAGGAGUCUAACUCAUUCACUCGUAGCUUACCACCGGUGGCGGGCAUUAGUGGUGCUGGGGGUGGACGAUCUGGGACUAGAAAGUCGGAUGGGCACUUUGGGAAGUUUGUGUGGAGGAUCGAAAACUUCACAAGAUUGAAGGAGCUGCUCAAGAAGAGGAAGAUCACUGGUUUGUGCAUCAAGAGCAGACGAUUUCAGGUCGGGAAUCGCGACUGCCGCCUUAUUGUUUAUCCACGGGGGCAGUCUCAACCACCAUGCCACCUCUCAGUGUUUCUGGAAGUGACAGAUCCCCGAAAUACUACGAGUGAAUGGACCUGCUUUGUGAGCCAUAGAUUGUCUGUUAUCAAUCAGAAAGGGGAGGAGAAGUCAAUCAUGAAAGAGUCUCAAAAUCGUUACUCUAAGUCAGCAAAGGAUUGGGGUUGGCGUGAAUUUCUGACAUUAACUAGCCUCUUCGACCAGGAUGCUGGUUUUCUUGUACAGGACACUGUUGUGUUCUCUGCAGAGGUUCUCAUUCUGAAGGAAACUGCAACUAUGCAAGGGCUUAGUGACGAAGAUUCUGAAAUAUGCAGUUCAAGUUCUGGAUAUCAGAUUGAUACUUUACCAAAACAUCCGUCAUUUACGUGGAAGGUAGAAAAUUUCUUGUCCUUUAAGGAGAUUAUGGAGACAAGAAAAAUUUUCAGUAAAUAUUUUCAGGCUGGUGGCUGUGAGCUGCGGAUAGGUGUAUAUGAGUCAUUUGAUACAAUGUGCAUAUAUCUGGAGAGUGAUCAGUCAUCUGGGGUUGAUCCUGAUAAGAACUUUUGGGUACAUUAUAAGAUGGCUAUACUCAACCAGAAGAACUCUUUGAAAACCGUGUGCAAAGAAUCUUCAAUUUGCACAAAAACAUGGAACAAUUCAGUUCUCCAGUUUAUGAAGGUUUCAGACAUUCUGGAUCCUGAAGCUGGCUUUCUUGUCCGGGACACUAUUGUCUUCGUUUGUGAAAUCAUAGACUGCUGUCCAUGGUUUGACUUCUCUGAUCUCGAGGUAUUUGCCUCAGAUGAUGACCAGGAUGAGUUGUCAACAGAUCCUGAUGAACUUAUCGAGUCUGAAGACAGUGAUGACAUGAGUGGUGAUGAGGAAGAUAUGUUCCGGAACCUCCUCUCAAGAGCUGGAUUUUCACUUACAUAUGGAGACAACUAUACUCAGCCGCAGGUUACCUUGAGAGAGAAAAUUUUGACGGAUGCUAGUGCGAUUGCUGGAUUUCUUACUGGCCUGCGUGUUUAUCUGGAUAACCCAGCAAAAGUGAAGCGCAUGCUUCUUCCUGCCAAAGUGUCCACCAAGGGUGGUGGAAAGAAAGAUUCCUCAAAGUGUGAUUCAAGCUCCACAAGUCUCAUAAAUUUGUUGAUGGGUGUUAGCGUCUUAAAGCAAGCUAUAAUUGAUUUGCUUUUAGAUAUAAUGGUUGAGUGCUGCCAACCUUCAGAUGAAAGAUCAUCAUAUGGCUCCUCCUCCUCAAGCUCUAAAACUGCUCCUGAUUCAAAUGGGGCUAGCUCUCCAUCAGAGCUCAUUGUGGAAGGCGAACAAACAGAAUGUGCAUGCAGAAAUCAGUAUGAAACGGCUGAAUCUGAUACUGUUAAUUUUGGGCGUAAUCUUGGAUUAGAAAAUGCAGAGCUAAAUGCAAAUGAGAUGCCUGUCAAGAUUCUAGAACAGUCCAGUUGUCCUCCAGAGACACCUGCCAUCGAUCUGCCAGGGGAUGAAAGUUCUGAUCAAGCUUCUGGGACAAAAUGGCCAGACCAGUCAGAGGAACUGUUAGGACUGAUUGUUAAUUCAUUGAAGGCACUAGACUGUGCUGUUCCACAUGGAUGCCCUGAACCAAGAAAGCGGCCUAAGUCUGUCCAGAAAAUUGCACUUGUACUAGAGAAAGCUCCAAAGAAGCUUCAACCUGAUUUCAUCGCCCUUGUACCAAAGUUGGUUGAUGGGUCUGAACACUCACUUGCUUCUUGUGCCCUUUUAGAUCAUCUUGAAAAGGCAGAUGCUGAGCCAUCACUGAGGUUACCGGUUUUUGGUGCCUUAUCCGAGUUAGAAUUUGAUGCUGAUGUCUGGAAACGAGUAUCUUUUCAUGCACUUGAAUUGUUGUCUGAUUCAAAUGAUGAGCCUCUUGUAGCAGCCAUUUCAUAUGUUCUCAAGGCGGCAUCACAGUGCCAGCAUAUUCCUCAAGCUGUUAGAGCUGUUCGAUGGAGAUUAAAACGUUUGGGUGCUGAUGUUCCACCGUGUGUGCUUGAGUUUUUGUCUAAAACGGUGCAUAACUGGCCAGAUGUAGCUGAAGCAUUAUUGAAGGAUAUUGAUUCUGAGCCUGAACCUGAUAACAGUUGUCUCUCCACGCCUUCUAGUACUUGUAGUAAAGAUGGGCUUUCAGCUGAAGGGAUGCCUUCUUGGCAAGAGCAAGCUGUACAUGGAAGCAAUCAUCUAUCAGAUGUUUUUGUACUCAUAGAAAUGUUAUCAGUACCUGGAUUAUUUGUGGAAGUUGCACGGGGUUUUGAAAGGGCUUUAUUGCAAGGGGCCUUUGGGCUGCAGUUAGUAGCCAUGGUGUUGGAAAGACGGCAUUCUCACAAGUUAAGUUCAAAGUCUGGGGCUGUCGUGUAUGAUUUACAGAGCAAACAAGUUUUAUUAGAUGGGCAGUUUGAACCCUCGCCCAUCCAAGAAGGUGAUUUCACUUCAGUCCUUGCACUUGGUGAGGUAUUGUCUCUAUCUACCUCAGCGAGGGUCCAAGACUUCGUGCGGAUGCUUUAUGCCAUCAUGUUUAAGAUCUAUGCCGAGGAUCAUUAUAGAUGCAGAUUUCUGAAGGGCCUUGUUGACCGGGCAACAAAUACCUCAGAUAACUGCCGAGAAGUUGACAUAGAUAUGGAUGUCUUGGUAUUUCUUGUUAAGGAGGAGUUUGGAAUUGCUAGACCUGUUCUAAACAUGAUGCGUGAAGCUGCUGAAGUUGCUCAGGCCGAUCGUGCUAAUCUUUGGCACCAAAUAUGUGCUACUGAGGAUGAGAAUAUUCGUUUGAGGGAGGAGAUGGACAUGGAGCAAACUAAAUUUACCAAUGAAAAAGCUGCAUUAGCCCAACGACUAACUGAGUCUGAGGCAACUACAGGACAUCUAAGGUCUGAACUAAAAGCCGAGAAGGAUCGUUAUAUUCGGGAGAAGAAGGAACUCUCCAGGCAGAUGCGGGAGAUUGAGAAUCAGAUGGAAUGGGUGCGAUCAGAGAAAGACGAGCAAAUUGCAAAGCUAUCUGCUGAUAGGAAGAAUCUUCAUGAUCGUGUUAGUGAAGCAGAGACACAACUAUCACAGUUUAAAGCACGGAAACGCGAAGAAAUAAAGAAAGUAACUACUGAGAAGAAUACAUUGGCAGAGAGGCUGAAGAAUGCUGAAGCUUCAAGGAAACGAUUUGAUGAUGAAUUAAAACGACAUGCAGCUGAAACACAGGCUCGCGAAGAGAUUAGAAAAUCACUUGAGGCUGAAGUAAGGAGGCUGACACAUAAAGUUGGACAAACCGAGGGAGAAAAGAAAGAAAAAGAAGAUCAAAUUUCUCGCUGCGAAGCUUACAUUGAUGGAAUGGAGUCAAAAUUGCAAGUUUGCCAGCAAUAUAUUCGUACUCUGGAAACAUCACUUCAAGAAGAGAUGGCUCGGCAUGCCCCACUGUAUGGUGUCGGCGUGGAAGCUUUGUCACUGGAGGAGCUUGAGACCCUUGCAAACAUCCACGAGCAGAGUUUGAGACAGAUCCAUACAAUCAGGCAAAGGAAAGGCAGCAGCCAUCUCUUGAGCGUCCCUGGCUUGUUCCCCUCGUCUUCGAUGGCUGUUGGGCCGCCUUCCUCAUUGAUCCACACGUCCUCCAUAGCACCUAAUGGCGUGGGUACCCAUGGAAACGGGCACAUGAACAAUGCGGUGGACCGCUGGUUCAAUCAAACCUAG